rnacentral:rRNA from 1 species
UACGGAGGAUCCGAGCGUUUAUCCGGAUUUAUUGGGUUUAAAGGGAGCGUAGGUGGAUUGUUAAGUCAGUUGUGAAAGUUUGCGGCUCAACCGUAAAAUUGCAGUUGAAACUGGCAGUCUUGAGUACAGUAGAGGUGGGCGGAAUUCGUGGUGUAGCGGUGAAAUGCUUAGAUAUCACGAAGAACUCCGAUUGCGAAGGCAGCUCACUGGACUGCAACUGACACUGAGGCUCGGAAAGUGUGGGUAUCGAACAGG